CAGCAGCCGCGGGAAUACGAAGGGGGCUAGCGUUGUUCGGAUUUACUGGGCGUAAAGCGCACGUAGGCGGAUCGAUCAGUCAGGGGUGAAAUCCCAGAGCUCAACUCUGGAACUGCCUUUGAUACUGUCGAUCUGGAGUAUGGAAGAGGUGAGUGGAAUUCCGAGUGUAGAGGUGAAAUUCGUAGAUAUUCGGAAGAACACCAGUGGCGAAGGCGGCUCACUGGCUCAUACUGGACGCUGAGGUGCGAAAGCGUGGGGAGCAAACAGGAUUAGAUACCCGCGUAGUCCCUGUCUCUUAUAC
rnacentral:rRNA from 1 species